UCCAAUGCAUACUAUCAGAUUCUGAUUUUCCGAAAAUACCAUUUACAAUCCGUUUCAUAUAAAUAGUUCAUCAGAGUUUACAUGGACAAUGAGAAGCGAUUGAGUGAAACAAGUGAAAAAACCAGAGACCCAAUUAAUUUGAUAGUCAACAACCCAGCUGCUUAAUAAGUAACAGCUACCAAGAAUUCGCACAUUCAAGGAAAAUACAAAACUAAUGAAUCUCACUAUCAGUUUCUCCUCAAAAUGAAUUUGAUCUUUAAUGCUUGUAAUAGAACACCAACUGGAAGAAGCAUAUGUGGAUGAGCGGGUGCCCUUCUAAGUUUUCAGAGGCAUGGGAAGCUAUUGAAGAGGUGAAGCUUGAAUUCAGAGAGCGGAAUAGGUUUUGGGUUGUGGAGUAGAAGUGCUGUUUUGGAAAGAUCGUCUUCUAAAUGAAUAACAAUAUAUUUAACCGAGUGUCAUGCAAUUUGUACACUCUGAAGUGAAGAGCAUUCUCUGAACCUAUUUCUCAAUAAAAAAAGUCAAUAUACCAUAUUUUUGUGUCUAGCUUUCCUAUAGAGCUCUGUAUGAUAUACUUUUGCAAAAUACUCUCUCCCUCUCUCUUUCUUUGUGAACAAUCCACCAG
rnacentral:lncRNA from 1 species